CUCCGGCUCCCGCUAUCGGAUGAGCCUAUGUCGGAUUAGCUGGUUGGUGAGGUAAAGGCUCACCAAGGCGACGAUCCGUAGCUGGUCUGAGAGGAUGAUCAGCCACAUCGGGACUGAGACACGGCCCGAACUCCUACGGGAGGCAGCAGUGGGGAAUAUUGGACAAUGGGGGCAACCCUGAUCCAGCCAUGCCGCGUGUGUGAAGAAGGCCCUCGGGUUGUAAAGCACUUUCAGUGAGGAAGAACGCCUGGUGGUUAAUACCCAUCAGGAAAGACAUCACUCACAGAAGAAGCACCGGCUAACUCCGUGCCAGCAGCCGCGGUAAUACGGAGGGUGCGAGCGUUAAUCGGAAUUACUGGGCGUAAAGCGCGCGUAGGUGGCUUGAUAAGCCGGUUGUGAAAGCCCCGGGCUCAACCUGGGAACGGCAUCCGGAACUGUCAAGCUAGAGUGCAGGAGAGGAAGGUAGAAUUCCCGGUGUAGCGGUGAAAUGCGUAGAGAUCGGGAGGAAUACCAGUGGCGAAGGCGGCCUUCUGGACUGACACUGACACUGAGGUGCGAAAGCGUGGGUAGCAAACAGGAUUAGAUACCCUGGUAGUCCACGCCGUAAACGAUGUCGACCAGCCGUUGGGUGCCUAGCGCACUUUGUGGCGAAGUUAACGCGAUAAGUCGACCGCCUNGNGNGGAGUACGGCCGCAAGGUUANAAACUCAAAUGAGUUGACGGGGGCCCGCACAAGCGGUGGAGCAUGUGGUUUAAUUCGAUGCAACGCGAAGAACCUUACCUACUCUUGACAUCCUGCGAAUCUGGUAGAGAUACCUUAGUGCCUUCGGGAACGCAGAGACAGGUGCUGCAUGGCUGUCGUCAGCUCGUGUUGUGAAAUGUUGGGUUAAGUCCCGUAACGAGCGCAACCCUUGUCCUUAUUUGCCAGCGCGUAAUGGCGGGAACUCUAAGGAGACUGCCGGUGACAAACCGGAGGAAGGUGGGGACGACGUCAAGUCAUCAUGGCCCUUACGAGUAGGGCUACACACGUGCUACAAUGGUCGGUACAAAGGGUUGCCAACUCGCGAGAGUGAGCCAAUCCCGAAAAGCCGAUCUCAGUCCGGAUCGGAGUCUGCAACUCGACUCCGUGAAGUCGGAAUCGCUAGUAAUCG
rnacentral:rRNA from 1 species